rnacentral:rRNA from 1 species
AUUGAAACACCCGUUCCCGUACAAUCACCGACGUUAAGCAACGUCGAGCCUGAUCAGGACCAAGAUGGGUGACUGCUUGGAAAUACCAGCUGCUGUAAG